rnacentral:rRNA from 1 species
UUCUUUAAUGAAUCCUUCCGUCAGGUUCACAUA